rnacentral:lncRNA from 1 species
CUUCAGAGCCGCGCAGGCAGGGGCAUGGGUGGGCGUGGCUGCGUCUUAUAGGCUGAGCCACUGGCUGUGCCCCUGAGCUGAGCUGGGUGAGUACUCUAGGCAUUCCUGGCAGAGGAUACAGCAGGAGCAAAGGCCUGGAGGCUAAAAAUAGCUUGCGGGCAGGGGAGCUACCAGCAGUUCAGUGCUUCUGGAGUUUAAAGAGCCCGGCGAGGGUCAUGUCAGAUGACGCCGGUCCACGAGAAGGAGGGUGGAUUAUAUCCUUAGAGACGCCAUAGAGUGAGGAUAUAAUGGCUCUGUAACAAGCAUAAACUGUGAUGGUCUGGGAUGCCCUCGUCAUAGACAGCCCCUGGAGAGUCGGCUUACAAUUAAGUCCAUACCCCCGCCUCCCGCCUGGCUUUCACUUCCUUGCUUUUGGAGAGAAGAUGAAUGGAAAUGUAUGACUUUGUCUGUGGUAUAAAGACAUGGAUUCAAGUUCAGGGUUUGCCAUGGACCUGCCGUGUGACCUUUGGAAGGUCCACAGAAAACAUCCUGGGGUCCUGAGCUGAAGUGUGAUGGGAGGAGUCCUCUGUAUCUCAGUCUGAUCCUGGUCUCCCUCUCGGCCAUGGUCUCACACUAGUGCUGCUGGGAAACCAUCCCUCACAUCCAGUCCUGGCAUCGGGCAGUGACUCUGGUCCAACUGUUGUCCAACUCAAGGGUUUAGCUGCUUAGAUUUUCCUAAAACUUGAAUUUCAUUUUCCUCUAGCCAUGGAAUACAGAUUAAUCCUUUACAAUUAAAAUCCAAGUUCAGAUUUUAUUUGUUGUGGUUUUUAAUUAAAAUCUCACCAGCA